GAAAAAGGACAUUCCUAGGAGAGAUUCACUUCGUGAGAGAAAGAAAAAGCAAAAUGCAAACACAGCUGAUCCUCAAUGAAUUGAAUCUUCCCCCAAAGGCUGUCACAAAUAGGUACAUGUACUUCUAGCUUUGCUUCUUGGGAUUCUUCUGUCUUAUGCAUCAUAUGCUAAUUAUCUCACCAGUCUGCCUGCAACAUUUCAUUUGGCAUUUUUCCUUCUUCUUGCUUGUAAAUUUACAUCAGCGAAGAGAUAGGGUGAAAUUAUUAAUGAAAAUCUAUCCAUAGGUGCCUUUCCAAAGGAAGAGAGCAGGACUAGCGUAUGAAACAGAUCCUACUUUCAGGUUUCCUUUUAAUGCACUUCUGUUUAAUUCUGAACCCCCCUACUUUGCAUAGAUAAGAGGAUAAAAGCAUCUCAGCUGGUUCUGAAUUUCCCCCCACAGACAGAAUUGUAUAUCUGCUCCUCCUUUCUCUGUGUGUUUCAGGAGACAGACAGCGCGGCGUUCACUCGCUGCUCCUGGUUCUCUUUAGUUUCAUCCCCAAAAGAGGAUUCCCCAAUGAGCCGAGACACAGUGGGUGGGAUUUCUUUCAGCAAAAGUCUCCAGUGCUAAGGUUUUGCAGAGAAACAGGGACUCCAUCAGAAGCAGAGGAACGAGAUGAAUUAGUGGUGAACAUGGUGGUGCUGGGUUAACAUUUGGACUCUAGGAUCUUAGAGGUCUGUGACCUUUAAUGACUCUGUGAUUCUGUGAAUUGUGACCUAACAAGAGCUAUUUAUCUGGGCUCAUGUUUGCUCUGAUGAAUCGACCACUGUGACCACUGAGCAAUGGGGAGGAACCAUGAAUGAGAUAUCAGCAAUGAGGUACCUUCUCAGCAGGCAGUGACAACACACAGGACAACACCCAAACUCCAAUAAACAUAGGAAUAGGGAAGUACAUUCACUGAACUGCACCCCCUAUAAAAAAGAAUCAAGCAAGUGAAAAGAAAAACACAGCUUUGAGAAACUGAAAAUUUCAACUGCAAAUUCAAGGGGGGGUUAUUUUUUUUUUUUUUAAUUUUAUAUUCUUAGCUGAGUAUUUCCACUUUUUAUCCUAUUUUUUUUCCUGAUUAUCAGCUACAGCACAAUAAGGGCUUUUACUUUUUUUCUGCUCAAAAAAACCACCACAAUAAUCUGAUCAACUCUUGCAACGAAACUAUGGCUUCAAAACAACCCAACUCUAAUAUAAUUUGCAUGAGCCCUAUAUCACCCAAAUGCUCCUGACAAUUCAAUGAACUUUGUCCUGCAUUUCACCAGAAUACUUAUGAACCAUAUUGGGCACAGCAGAGCUGUUAAUGAAACUGGAACUGAAUAAUUACAACACGCUCAUCCUUGAAGAUGCAGGCAGAUGUGGGGAAGUGUACUCCAUUUGUGUCAUUGGAAUACCAUUGCAAAUUACCUCUGCGCUAACUACGUUUAAACAGAAAUACAGGGGGGAAAAAAAAAGUCUUCCUUGAUAAUGACAAGACAAAAAUGUCCAUAAAAAGGAAAUAAAGAUGACAUACUUCUUUUUCUGUGACAUACAUUUUUUACAUGGCUUAGGGGCUUUGCUUCCUGAGAGUUUACGUCGUCAGCU